rfam:Salmo salar isolate Sally breed double haploid chromosome ssa24, whole genome shotgun sequence.
AAAAUGUAUGCUUGCAUAAGUCGCUUUGGAUAAAAGCAUCUGCUAAAUGGCAUAUA